AUUGAACGCUGGCGGCAUGCCUUACACAUGCAAGUCGAACGGUAACAGGUCUUCGGAUGCUGACGAGUGGCGAACGGGUGAGUAAUACAUCGGAACGUGCCUAGUAGUGGGGGAUAACUACUCGAAAGAGUGGCUAAUACCGCAUGAGAUCUACGGAUGAAAGCAGGGGAUCGCAAGACCUUGUGCUAUUAGAGCGGCCGAUGGCAGAUUAGGUAGUUGGUGGGAUAAAAGCUUACCAAGCCGACGAUCUGUAGCUGGUCUGAGAGGACGAUCAGCUACACUGGGACUGAGACACGGCCCAGACUCCUACGGGAGGCAGCAGUGGGGAAUUUUGGACAAUGGGCGCAAGCCUGAUCCAGCAAUGCCGCGUGCAGGAUGAAGGCCUUCGGGUUGUAAACUGCUUUUGUACGGAACGAAAAGCUCUGGGUUAAUACCCUGGGGUCAUGACGGUACCGUAAGAAUAAGCACCGGCUAACUACGUGCCAGCCGCCGCGGUAAUAC
rnacentral:rRNA from 1 species